GUCGAGCGGUAGAGAGAAGCUUGCUUCUCUUGAGAGCGGCGGACGGGUGAGUAAUGCCUAGGAAUCUGCCUGGUAGUGGGGGAUAACGUUCGGAAACGGACGCUAAUACCGCAUACGUCCUACGGGAGAAAGCAGGGGACCUUCGGGCCUUGCGCUAUCAGAUGAGCCUAGGUCGGAUUAGCUAGUUGGUGAGGUAAUGGCUCACCAAGGCGACGAUCCGUAACUGGUCUGAGAGGAUGAUCAGUCACACUGGAACUGAGACACGGUCCAGACUCCUACGGGAGGCAGCAGUGGGGAAUAUUGGACAAUGGGCGAAAGCCUGAUCCAGCCAUGCCGCGUGUGUGAAGAAGGUCUUCGGAUUGUAAAGCACUUUAAGUUGGGAGGAAGGGCAGUUACCUAAUACGUGAUUGUUUUGACGUUACCGACAGAAUAAGCACCGGCUAACUCUGUGCCAGCAGCCGCGGUAAUACAGAGGGUGCAAGCGUUAAUCGGAAUUACUGGGCGUAAAGCGCGCGUAGGUGGUUUGUUAAGUUGGAUGUGAAAUCCCCGGGCUCAACCUGGGAACUGCAUUCAAAACUGACUGACUAGAGUAUGGUAGAGGGUGGUGGAAUUUCCUGUGUAGCGGUGAAAUGCGUAGAUAUAGGAAGGAACACCAGUGGCGAAGGCGACCACCUGGACUGAUACUGACACUGAGGUGCGAAAGCGUGGGGAGCAAACAGGAUUAGAUACCCUGGUAGUCCACGCCGUAAACGAUGUCAACUAGCCGUUGGGAGCCUUGAGCUCUUAGUGGCGCAGCUAACGCAUUAAGUUGACCGCCUGG
rnacentral:rRNA from 1 species